GGAGGGGUGGCAGAGCGGUUGAAUGCACCGGUCUUGAAAACCGGCAUAGGUUUAUAGCCUAUCGAGAGUUCGAAUCUCUCCUCCUCCGCCA
rnacentral:tRNA from 1 species